rnacentral:lncRNA from 1 species
GCGUCAAUAAGUGAUGAUGAUUACAAGUAGCUAUCAUUGAUUAGUACUCGAUGGGCACGUUAACUUUUCGAUUACGAAAUAUGCGAUGCUACGGCAGGGGGAGUAGCGCCCAUCCCGAACACCACCAUGGGAAACCCGCUAUCGAGUUACACUAAAUGAAAACUCAAAUCUAUUUUCACUUCGCGUACGUACGCUAGGCGUGAGACUCUACACGGCGAGGUACGCUAAGUAAGAUAUUGAAUACGAUGUCCAAAGUAUCGUCCCCACAGCUUCUUUGUAUCGACCAGCAUUUUCAAUCCAGUUCAAGCGCGCUGCUUUGUUUGACGUGACGAAUUGCGGCUUGAACGACACGAACAUUCCAUCGAAGGUUAGCGACGUUGUGUGACUCCAUGUCCUCGAUCGUUCGAUCCCGUUGGUCUGGAUGCUUCAUCCAGAAAAGAGCCGUGGUUCGCGGCCAUGCCGGAUGCUCUCGUGCGGACGCUCUCGUGCGCACCAUAGAACGCAGGUUCGGGUGGCACUUGCUCAUCACGUGCCACAAGCCACAGGAUUCAAAGCAUGGUGGACUUUGAUGCGUGAAACAGGUUCGUAGAUGACAGCCGUUGUCACGAAGUCAAAGCUCUUUAUCGGCGCACUUAAAGUGUAUGCAGUAGACCAGAUCCAAAAAUAAACACAAGAUAGUUUCGUCCUCGGAGCGACCUUCGGUGUAAAAGAAUACAGACUGAGAGACUCACAGAACUAGCCUCUGACAGAACGUGGAGGGUAGAGGGGUCACCAGUGCUUUAACGAUCGAAAGACUUUGUCGAAGUGCCGCGUGUACAUGAAUUUCUGUGGUUUUAUUCUCCCCGUUAUCUCUGACGCGUGUCGGAUCAAUACCAGGUAUGAUAUAUGGGUGAGUAAUUUGUACAUGAAUACGGGAAGCUCGCCUAGGUUACCCCCGAAGGAGUAAUCACUUUCGCGCCCCGCCGAACCGCCGUUCGUUUUCUGCGCGCCGGUGCGAGUGGCGUCAAAAGGCGCGGCGUCGCGUGGACAUCGCGCGCAGCACUCGCGAACGCCCUCGAGGCGCGCGCGGUAUUCGCGAGCAUGUCGUCGAGAUAAUCUGCGAAAAUCUAGACGCGCUCGACCGAGACGCCCGUCCGCCCGCAUGCGCAUCCUUCUCACCGGUGGCGCCGGCUUCAUCGGCUCGCACGUCGCCGAGCGCCUCGCGUCGAGGCAUCCCGAGUACACGGUGCGCGCACGAUUUCGACCCCGUGCGCGUGCGUCGAACAACGCACGGACUUUGCACCCAUCUCUCGCGCGAACGACUGACCGCGAACGACUCGUCGCGCUCGACAGAUUGUCAUCCUGGACAAGCUCGACUAUUGCUCGAGCUUGAAAAAUCUCGAGCGCGCGAAAGAAUGCGCGAACGUGCGGUUCGUCAAGGGCGAUGUGCGUUCGUUCGAUUUAUUGAGUUACGUCUUGCAAAGCGAGCGCAUCGACACCGUCAUGCACUUCGCCGCGCAGAGUCACGUGGACAACUCUUUCGGGAACUCGUACGAGUUCACGAAGAAUAACAUCGAGGGCACGCACGCGUUACUCGAGGCGUGCGUGCGAGCGCAGAAGACCGAAAUUCGACGAUUCCUGCACGUGUCCACGGAUGAGGUAUACGGGGAAAAUCUCAUGGAUUCAAACACCGAGCACGCGUCGCUCCUGACGCCCACCAACCCGUACGCCGCGACCAAGGCGGGCGCGGAGAUGCUCGUCAUGGCGUAUGGACGCUCGUACGGACUACCGUACAUCAUCACUCGCGGAAACAACGUGUAUGGGCCGAAUCAGUAUCCAGAGAAGGCGAUUCCAAAGUUUUCAAUCCUCGCGAAACGCGGGGAAAAGAUUUCGAUACACGGCGACGGCGACGCGACGCGUUCGUACAUGCACGUUGACGAUGCGUCUUCGGCGUUCGAUGUCAUUCUCCACCGCGGGACGACGGCGCAGAUUUAUAACAUCGGCUCGCGCGAAGAGCGGACGAUCUUGUCCGUCGCUCGGGAUGUCUGUAAGCUCCUCGAUCGCGACCCGGAAACGACCAUCGAGCACGUGAGCGAUCGAGCCUUCAACGACCGAAGAUAUUUCAUCGAUUGCUCAAAGCUUUUAGCGCUCGGAUGGCGACAAGAAAAGUCCUGGGACGUCGGUCUCGCGGAAACCGUGCGUUGGUACUCGAAUAACGACUUGAGCGCCUACUGGGGCGAAUUCUCACCUGCGUUGCGCCCGCACCCUUCGGCGAGCGCGGACGGUCGACGACGAUCGCUCGAGUUUGAUUUCACAAACGAGCUUGAUGAUUGCACGACACUGGCUUUGUAAGUGUGAGUGAUUGGAACUCCAGAUUGUGGUUCAAAUUGGUCCAAUCCCGAGUCGACGAAAGUCUUUUUCCAAGUUUUUUUCCAAGAAUUAUUUGCGUACAUCAUCAGCUUGCACUCGCCUCCCGGUUUGAGAGUCAUGAAAUAUCCUUCACGGCGGGUUGUACAUCGGCGAUGUGAUGCAGAACUCCGAAACUAAAAAGAGGAUCAAAAUGGUCGUGCAUGAAUUCAUCGGUCUGUAUAUCUGCAACGCGCACCUCACCAUUGAGUUUGAACAGUUUGAGUCGCUUCUCAGCGAGUUCUACACUUCGCAAGGAAACGUCGAUGCCUGUGUAAACCGCGCCAGCUUCAGUAAAACUUUGUGUCGCGGUCCCUAUACCGCAACCAACCUCGAGAACAGAUUGUUUUCGUACGCGUCGAGACUUGCGAAUGCCAAAGUGUGGUUCUCGACGAAAUAUUUACGCCGCGUCACUUCUUCAAAGUAUUCCUUCGAGCCGAAUGUUACAAGGGCGAUCAUCGUAAAACGUUUUCACGAACUCAUUCGACUCGCGCAUGGCGUCGCUCACGACCGGUGUACUUAAUGUUAGUGCGCGUGUCAAGAGCGUUGUUGCGGUAGUUUCGACGCAGAGGAAAGCAGUGGUGAGUCAACACCGAGGCUGUGGUCCGCGGUUGCGUUCCUACGACAUAUACCUAACAAAGUACCAGGGAUAAUAAAGUCCAGAAAGAGACAUGCUUUAAGAGAGUGGAGUGAUCUUGGGCCAGUCGCCGUCUCUGACGUUGCAACGUCGCAGAGCGAAGAUGGCUACCACUCGAUCGAUCUUGCAAACAACGCGCGCCAGAUUCGUCGGUCUGGGCCGACUCGGACUAUGUACGGCUCUCAAGUGUGAACAAGCUGAUUGGGAUAUCGUUGGUUCGGAUGUCUUUCCGGCGCACGUGGACAGCAUCAACGAAAUCACGCUUCGUUUGACUGAGCCAAGAGUCGAGGAAGCGCUUCGAUCGAGCAAACAUCUGCGCGCAACUUUAAAGCUGCGUGAAGUGAUCGAUCGCGUCGAUAUGGUCUUCAUCCUCGUCGCCACGCCCACUGACUCUGGAGAUCAAGCGUACGACACAAGCGCGCUCAGUCGGUUUUUUGAGUGAUAUUAGCGACUUGAACCCCGAGAACAAACACUUGAUGAUUUGAGGCACGGUGUUACCUGGCUAGAUCUCGAUAGGUGUAAGGUAUCCUACGUCGCAUAUGAAUCGAAUUGUCCUGUGGAUAUCAUCGAAGAGUCCCAGCUGCUCGAAAUCGCGAAACGACUCGUGCGACGGGGGAAGAAAGUGACAGUUUUCGACCGGGUGGCGAUUGUUCACUUAGUGCGAGGAACGUACGGGCAGUUGUUCGAUUACGAAAUAUGCGAUACUACGGCAGGGGGAGUAGCGCCCAUCCCGAACACCACCAUGGAAAACCCGCUAUCGAGUUACACUAAAUGAAAACUCAAAUCUAUUUUCACUUCGCGUACAUACGCUAGGCGUGAGACUCUACAUGGCGAGGUACGCCAAGUAAGAUAUUGAAUACGAUGUCCAAAGUAUCGCCCCCACAGCUUCUUUGUAUCGACCAGCAUUUUCAAUCCAGUUCAAGCGCGCUGCUUUGUUUGACAUGACGAAUUGCGGCUUGAACGACACGAGCAUUCCAUCGAAGGUUAGCAACGUUGUGUGACUCCAUGUCCUCGAUCGUUCGAUCCCGUUGGUCUGGAUGCUUCAUCCAGUUGCUCAUGAGUUCCACAGCAUGCUCGGCACUG